AAACUGACAAUAAUAUUUGACUAUGACUUCCACAUGCACAUUUAUCUGAAUUGGUUAAUGAAUCAAACUAUCCAUCUUGAAUGCGUGCCACUGAAAUGUUAACUUUUUCCUGGGCUUGAAUUAUGUAGCUUAUUUGCUACAUUAGUUUGGUUUCUGCUAUUCUGCAGAAACCCUGCCUAGAUGAAGGUGCAUAAUGUAAACCAGUAAAGACAGCGAUAAUAAUAACGACUAUCAUUUAUCUAGCAUUUGCUCUCUGCCAGUGUUGUGCUAAGUAUUUUAUGUAUAUCAUCUCUGGCAAAACUUUGUGUGAGGUAGACCAUUUUCUUAUCUGCACUUUACAGAUGUGGGGACUGAGACUUCCUUAAGUAACUUUCGAAAGUUCACUUAGCUAACUGAGCUUAGACACAGACUUGCUGCAUUUGGGCUGUAGAAACUCCUUCGUGGAACUCCUGUGAAUAAAGUAAUAAUGUGCACACUGAUGCCGGGAGGGAGACAACAGGACGUGUGUGGCUUUGCCCCAGUGUGGGAACUUCAGGAACGGUUCCUGGAGUUUGUGACUUCUAAAUUGACACUUGAAGAGGAAUGAACUUGGGGCUGGUAAGGAAUAUGUCACAUUCUGUUACAGUGUGAACAAGGAAGAGGAAAAGAGGAGGGAAGGAGAAAGGAAAAAAAAAAAAAAAAAGAAUGGCAAUGAACUAGUGAAAACAGAGUUGCUAAAGCCUGAAACUUGGGUCUCUGAUUUCCUUUUUUCGUCUCACUUCCCACGUCAAAUCCAUAGACAAGUGCUGUCUGCUCCACCUCCAAAAUUAACCCUAAGGUGACUAUAGAGACUGUCUAAGGGAUCUUCUGGCUUUCACUUUUGCCCACAACCCUUCAUUCUUCUCAGAGCAGCAGGAUAUCUGAUUCCACUUUGUGCCCCGCCCUCUGGUCCCUUCCCACUGGGUACCAGGCCCUCAGUGCCCUGGUGAUCUGGGCCCUGCUGCCCUCUCUGACGUUUCCUGGCACCAUGUCUCUAUCCUCCAGCCGCACUGGCAUUUCACUUGCCGCCCAGCGUACACUUAGUAUGGUCUCUAGCCCAUGGCUGGCACAGGGUGACAGAGUAAGAGAGAACAGGAACAAAGUAAAAGAGCAUCCAUCAAUAAUUUACACAAAAGGAAAUCCGUCUUCCUUUUUAUCACAAUCACCAUAAAUCCAGGCAGAAUAAGGGUUGUACAUACCUGAACUUUUGGGAAGCCUGAAAGGAAGUUAUUCAGAGCUGCAGGAGAGGCAAUGUAAACGUUACUGGAUUCUGCCCCCAACUAUAAAGAAUCUGUCUGAAGAGAAUAUUCAUAAAGCUUUGGGAAUUGUUACAGUUAUAUGAAAUGGGCACAUUCUAACAACAUCAAGUAAUGUUUUAUUUUUCUGUCUAUGAGAUAAUUAGUGCCAUUUUAAAAAAAAUCCAAAAUGAAGUCUUAAAUUAGCUUUUGAUAUUUUGAUAAACUGAAUAUUAUUUUUUAUAAGAUAGAUGAACAAGGAUAAAAUGUUUUAUAAAUUUUUAAAAUGCUAAUGUUUUAUGAUUAAAGAAAUGGAGUGGUUACUAUUAUAUUUGCUCAUAGACUCAAUGAACCGGACAGAAAAGCCUUUAAGGGGACAAAAUAGUAAAUACAUUUUAUGAAUUAUGGUAAAUAAAUGUUAAAAGAGAAGACAACAUUCUCAGAAUGAUCAAUAUAAUGUAACAGAAGAAGUUCAAAUAAAAUUAUAUGAUGUCAAAUUAAAGAGAAAAUUAUUGAACAUUAACCAAUAUCUUUUUAAUGUUCUACAGUCUUCAGUCAGAAUAGUCAAUAAUUAUAAACUGGAAAAUAUUUUUUUAUUAAUAUUUAAACUAUUUUUACCCAACUUAAUAUGACCACUUUUUAUAGUCUGUGAUCUGAAUUCUAUCUCUCAUUCUAUCUAUGGGUAGUAUGAAGUUCUUUUUAUUUAACUUUCCAGUAAUAAUAUUCAACAUAUUUAAAACACACACACAGCCACAGAGCCAACAUUAUGGAUAUAUGAUCUGUGUAAUUGCACAGGGCCUUGUACUUCAUUUGAUGCUCUGCUGUCACUGUAUUGAAAUUCCUCAUUUUUAGAUAAAGGAACUCUUAUUUUCAUUUCGCACUGGGUUUCACAAAUUCUAUAACGGUCAUGCACGCUCAUACAUGUUAAGUUACACAUUGUGGAUAGCAGUGCAUGUCUUUGAGGUGAUUUCAGUUUGGUGGGAAAAGCAGAUAUUAAAUAUCUAAUUUCAAAGAUGAAAAAUAUUAUUAAAAGAGAAACAUGAUAUAUUAUGUGAAUCAGAAGUUUAAAGUAGUAUAGGCCCGUUUUUAUAUUUAAAUGCAGAUCCAUAAAGACUAAUUUACCUGCCCAACAAACAAGCAACUAUGAGAGGAUGACCUGUAAUUUGAUAAAAUUUAAAUCUUACCAAAUGACUAAUGAACGUCUAUUUACAUGAUCAUGGGUUUUUUUGCUGCAUUCCUAAAUAAACCAUAAAUUUAACAUAAUGCAACAUUCAAAUUGGUAAUAUUUAACCUAGAAUUUUACAGUUGUAGUCGUAAUUGGGUUGUGUUUAUUUUUCAUUUUAUAUUCAACUGAUAUUGGGCUAGUUUUGUCAGGUUAUGCUAGUUUCAUAAAAUAAAUUGGGAAUUCUAUUGUUUUCUAAAACUGUCAACUGUUUAAACGUGUGAAAUAUGUGUUUAAACAUAUUUGUUUCUGACAGACUUACUGGAGUUCAACAAUAAAACUUACUUGAUUUCAUGGAUGAAGCCCAGGGAUAGGAUGAGACUGUCAGUUUUGAGCAUUACAAAUAUGAAAACGAAAAAGGGUUUAUUUUGAAGGCUGAAUCAAAAUGGCCAUGUCGGACUGUCAGAACUUUGCUGGAGAUGGGAGUGUUAGCAUAUCAGUGAUGGCCAGAGCCAUGGAAAUGAAUGCAGAUACUCAACCUGCGUGUUAGAAGACAGAAGAGAGAACUAAUGCUAGCAGGAUCCUUGGGGCAUGAGCAACCCUAAAAAGUUGAGAAAGGGGUGCCCAUCAACAAAACAGACAAAUACAUAGUAGGUAGCAAAGUGGAAAAGUCAGAAGUCAGUGUCCCAGAAGGCAACGGAAAAUAGAAUUUCAAGAUAGAGUAAGUAACCAGUAUUUCCAAAUGUCACAAAGAGGUUGAAAAAUGGAGGUUGAAAAGUGUGUCUAUUAAAUUUGGCAGAGCAGAGAUUAUCCAUGAUCCUCAUGGCAACAGUUUGAGAAGAGCAGUGUAGAUGCAAACAAUAUUCUAGUUUGCAGGGGUUGAGAGAAGAAAGAAAUAAAGUAACAGAGUACAAAUUUUACAAAAUGUUUGGUAAUAAUAAAAGGGAUAGGGUAAUGAUUUGAAAGGCAUGGAAUUUUUUAUUUUCAAUUAUAAGAAACACUUGAGCAUAUUUAUAUAUUACUUGAUAAAAUUAGGUUCUGCAGAACGGGGAAAGCAUGGAACCUAGAAACCCAAGAUAUUCCGUUGAUUUUUUUUUUCUUAUUUUCUCUCCAUUUCUCCCUCCUCUUUAAUUUCUGACCCAAAAUUCUAUAAUUCUGAACAAUCAGGAUCCACUCUUUAUCUGGGACCUAAAUUUAUGUUUCUUACUGAAAUGUUCCCAUUGGCACUCGUCUAAUUCUGGAUUGAGUAUUGGCUUGUCUAAGAAAGAAGUCUAAUAUUUCCCAAAUCGCCUUUCAGAGAGGGCAACUGUAGCUUUUACAUAGAUUGCAUUAUCCAAUCCCUUUAUAUGCUAAUGUUGCAUUGUUGGCAAUCACGGCUUUCUUUUAUAUACAGUCUGGCAUUGCUUAACAAUAUAUUCUGAGAAAUAAUAAAUUAACCUUUGCUUACUGUAACUUUUUUACUUUAUAAACUUUUAAUUUUUUUCAACUUUUUAACUCUUGUCAUAACAUUUGACUUAAAACACGAACACAUUGUACAGCUGUUCAAAAUAUUUUCUUUCUUUAUAUCCUUAUUCUAUACACUUUUUUCUUACUUUUUAAACUUUUUUGUUAGAAACUAAGACACAAACACACGUAUUAGCUUAGGCCUACACGGUGUCAGGAUCAUCAUCACUGUCUUCCAUUUCCACAUCUUGUCCCACAGGAAAAUUCUUCAGGGACAAUAACAUGCAUGAGCUGUCAUUUCUUAUGAUAACAAUGCCUUCUCCUGGAGUACCUCCUGAAGGAGCUACCCCAGGCUGUUUUACAGUUAACUUUUUUUUUUUAAUAAGUGGAAGGAGUACACUCUAAAAUAGUGAUAAAAGUAUAGUAAAAACAUAAACCAAUAACAUAAUUGUUUAUUAUCAAGUAUUGGGUACUGUACAGUACUGCAUGUGCUAUACUUUUAUAGGACUGGCAGUGCAGUAGGUUUGUUUAUGACAGCAUCACCACAAACACAUGAGUAAUGGGUUGUGCUAAAGUUGUUACAAUAGCUACAUGUCACUAAGUGAUAGGCAAUGUUCAGCUCCAUUAUAAUCUUAGACCACUUCCUAUAUGCAGUUCUUUUUUAUACAAUACAUGAUUGUGCUAGAUUUUGGAGGGACUACACUUUUAACCAUUGCCUUUAUAGAACAUUAAUUAGAAAAGAAUACACCUACAACAAAUUUCUUCAUGUAAACUGAAAAGAAUGUAAACAUAUUUUGUUUAAAUCACUGGAUAGAUUCCCUUUAUAUGAUCCAGUUACUAUAUGAAGAUGUCAAACUGUUCUUAUGAGCUCUUGGAGAGCAGUUACUAUCUUAUUCAACCUGGAAUUCUCUGUAGUCAACAGAAUACCUUUCAAUUUACAAAUUCUACCCAAGUAUGACUUGUGGAAAAGGGAGACAUCAGACCGCACAAGUCUUGACUUGCUGUUAUUACACAAAACCAGUACCUGAGCAAACUUGUGAUAACAUCCAAGAAUGUUACAAAACCAGCUACUGAUUGAUAUUGAUAUAUCUAAAGUUCUGAUAAGCUUGUUAAAAUUCUAAUAUUUAAUAUAGAUUUAGACUUCUUUUCCUAAUAUGGAAGACUUCCUAAUAUGGAAGUCUGUCUUGUUGAAAUCCUUUUAUUGUUAGAUUAGAAAUUAAUCCAAACUACCUUUCCUUCAGGCAAGCCAGGUUUGGUACAAGUCAGGUUUCUCAUUGCCUUAGACUAUGAUUGGACUCUUAGUACAUCCAUUAACUCAUAUACGAUGUAAAAUUAUUAGGUUUAUUGCAACAGUAAUGAAAUCAUAAUCUAGAAAGAUACUGUAUGUCCCUGAGUUUCUGGGGUAUCAGUCAUUGUUCUAUGCCAAUAAUGUGUCAAUUAACUGUCAUCCUACAAGCCUGGAACUACCAUUAAUGUUUUCUCCAAAUAAUUUAAUAUAUUAUCUGGCAGUGACAUAUAUAUUUCAACGAUAAGAGCACAAAAAUUGAAAUUUUUAAGAGACGAAAACAAUAAGUCAUGGAGUUUCAUGUGCCGGUGAUUUCUUCUUCAAACCACGGAGCAGUGUGUCAUCUAUGUCUUGAGUGACGAUUUAUUAAAUGUCGGCUGUAUGCUUUCAUUUCCUUGUUUCUUUUUCUAGCAAGUCUCCCCUAUGCUUUACUAAAAUGUUUUUCAAUUAUGUCUUUCUCAUUUAAUGUUUUCAAUUUUUUUUACAUUGACUGAUAAAAUUGUCUGAUUUCAAGUAUAUAUAAAUUGUGAAAUGAAUAAU